rnacentral:lncRNA from 1 species
UGUGUGUGUGUGUGAAUCUUGUAGCGACGAGGGAACUCAAUGGAAUGAGUGAGUAGAAUGAAGAAUUGGACAUUUGCAGUGAGUAGGAGCGAGUGUUUCUGUAAAAACGUUUGUAAAUGAGUCACGUGCUUCCACGAGAACACAGAAUAAAACAAGUUGCAUAGAAAAAAAAAAACAACAGCACGGCGCGAAACAGCUCGGAUGCGGAUGGAAACGGGGGCGCGCGCGGGGGGGAGGGGCGCUUACGUCACAAAGGAGGUGGUCGUAAAAAGGGAGGACUUGGCUGCUGAGAGGGAGAGAGCGAGCGCGCGAGAGAAAGAGAGAGAGAGAGAGAAAGAGAGAGAGAGAGUCGCGGUGGCAAACAUCUGCAUCCGCAGUGCUCUCCUUCCAUCUCCAUCUUCCUCCUCCUCCGCCGCCGCCGCAGGAUCUGAGCGGAGGCAAAAUGUGAACGUAAUGUCUGUCCAGUGUGUGGAUCGCUCCUUCUAGAUUGCACAUUAGACCCUUCAAGACUUUCGGAACAGAUCACACCAGCUGUCCCUAACCCCUGCUCAUAAUGUUCGUACCUUCUCGCCUUUCUGGGCCCCGCCGGCGACGGCGCUUUGAGGACUAUGAACUUGACGACGUGAUGGAAUCAUGGCCCACCAGACAGAGCAUACGGAAGGAGGACAAAGCCUCUAAGAUCAGAGCUUCUGCUAAUUCCUCGUGCGUAAACCGGGCCAAUAAGGUGGUUAGAGGUCGUACUGACAUUGGCAGUUCCACAGUAGGUGAGACCAGAGCAGCCCAGGGUAAAAACAGCACAGUUCCAUUAAUGGCAAAAUUGAAACCUAAAGCUGUACAUGUGGUACCUGACCCAAGUUCUGUUCUUGACCCAAACUGUAAUGAACCAAGUUUGCCUUGUUUGUGCUGUGAUGGGCAUUCACCUCAAGACAACAACAGCCUGUUCAACCACAACUACAACAACAACAACACCAUUGGCAUUACACAGCAACUUCAGUCAGAACCAGCACAGCAGCACAUUCAGACUGAGACGCAAGAAAAGCCUGAGGACAUGCAGAAAGCUCAACAGACAACUAAAGGCUCACCACCGCAAUCACAGUGCCUGCAAGACACACUGCAGAGAGAGGAAUCAGAAGAAAGUAAAAACAUGGAACGCAAUGAAACCGAUGAAGCAGAAGACAAUGAUAAUAAUGAUGAUGACGAUGAUGACGAUGAUGAGGACACUCUGGUACCUUCUUGCUAUGACUGCCCAGCUUCACUUCUACAGUUCUCACUUUCCUGCUCUACUUCUUCUUCAUCCACCUCCAUCAGUAGCUGCUCAGACUUUGAGUCAGACUGUGCUGACACUGUCUCUCCUUCCUCCCAAGUCUUGUCCUCUGAUCAUUCCCUAACUGCUAACUCUUCAGCCUCAGAGCCAGAAAUCAUCCCCAUGGUUUCCCAACUCCAUCCUCUGCCAUCAUUGCCUCCCUGUUCUCCAGAUGAAGGCUACCCUUCUGCCAGAUCCUCUCCUUCAUCAGAUUUUACAGACCAUAAAGCAGCAUUAAUUGAAGAAGGCACAAAAGUGAAUUUGUUGACCCUUCUGGAAUCAGUGGAAAAGCUGGGCAAAACGGAUCAUUGGAAUCAAAUUAUUCAAGUGGCUCGUUGGGGCAUGGAGGGUGACCUUGGACUGAAGGAUCGACUCAGUCACCUGGAAAGGCUCGAGCUGGUCAAUAAGGAGGUAAAAAUGCUUCAUUUAGAAAGACUUCGUGAAGCUGGUCAAGAUCUAGAUGAAGAGGAUCUUUCUGAUGCCUUGGAGAACAUGGAAGUUUCAUGGAAACUAUACAAGCGAGAUAGUAUCUGUGACUCUCAGGAAUUUUCAGAUGCCGGAGUUGAUUUAACUGUCCCCUCAGAUUUAGACGAGUCCCUGCCCCCAGAUUCACUUGCUCCAUCCCCCUUGCAGCCACCACCUCGGCCCCCAAAGCCACCAGUGAGAAACCCAGAAGCACACACGUACAUAAACAUAAACAACAACAUAUCCAUUCCGGCAUCUGCAUCUUCUGCCACCUCUGAAACAUCUGCUUUUGGCACUGUGUCACCAUCUUCAUCCUCCUCUAAGCCAGAGCAGGCAACUCCAGCACCUCCAGCUCUUCCUCUUCCUUCAUCUCAACCCAUACCAUACUUCACCUUUUACUCAUCUACACCAACCCUUUCUUCACCUCCUCCUCCAAUUCCUCCUCCAAGGAGGCGACACAAGGCUCGAAUGGAGGCGCAGAAGUACGCUGAUCUCCACAAUGAUGCAACGCCGCUGUCCCUUCCCCCUCCCACUUCCCGACCCCCUCCCCUUCCCCCUCCCCCUGCACUUCCGUCCCCUCCUACUAUCCCUCCUCCACCUUCCUUACCUCCACCUCCAUCCUUCCACGCCCUGGAUGCCGAAAUCCGUAAACUCCUCGUUCUGGCCGGGCUCACACAGGCUGAACUUUUAAAACUGAGUCCUGAAUUGGGGGUGUGUGUAACGGGCGUACUGGAGGAAGGCGAUGGAGAAUUAUCUGAAGUAGCGAGGACAGAAGAUGUACAAGAAAGAGAUAAGAGACACGAAGAACAUGGGAGAGAAAGGAAACAGUCAACAGAGGAUGAAUCCAGAGGCGGUGAGAAUGAUGAGACACUGCAACAAAAUAAGGGGUCGGAAGAUGUCUUUGUGAAGUCUGAACAAGACAUACUAAUAGAAGGAAAAGCUGAUGAAGAGAAGAAGGAAACUUUUAGGACAACUUCGUUCACGGAGAUGGCAAGGAGACGUAAGCGCAAUGGCAGCAGCCUGAGCUCUGGCUGUAACUGCGGGUACAGCUUACAUGCGAACUCCAACCCUGAGUCCUACUAUAACACUGUUAAUGUGAAGGCAAACAAUCAUACUUCCUGUUGUAACAAUUAUGAAUAUUCCACAGCUGUCGGUGCAUCGCCUCCUCCUCCUCCGCCUCCUCGACCUUUACCGCCAUGUCCUCCAGAUCUGCCCCAGGCCCCCGUCCUGCCGCCGUUGUCCCUGUGUACCCUCCCUGGAAAUGCCGCUCGGCCAGAACGCUUCGACUGGCUUAUAGCCUUCUCCCCAGAGACAGAAGCACCUCCAGUAGGAGUGGAUAAAUCAGCGAAAAGCAGUCCGCAAAAGAUGAAGGCAGGGUCAAAGGUCACCACUUUCAAAGAGUUGAGAAUUCGAAGCAGACAGAACCCACAACCCGUUCCAUCGCAACCGGAACCUGACCCGACCGUCGUAACUCCUGAUGCGGAUUUCUUGUACAAUCUGAAGUGGAGGAAGGAGAAGACUGACGGUGAUGGCAGCCAGUGGGAAUACAUCCCGGAAGCUCAGUCCACCUUCCUUCACCUGCCGCCAUUCGUUUCGCUUGCCGAUAAGAGGGAAGCAUUGCAGGUGAAUGGUGGGGAUGGCCAGCCGGAGCCCCAGCCUUCACAACGUAUUGGAUGCUCCGCGAGUGAUGGUAACUUGUGGACUGCGGGCUCCAAAGGACUGGGAGAUCGGAGAGGAAAACAGGAAGAGGAAGAGCGUGAGGUGAGGGGAAGAGCAGAUGGAGGAAGGAAAUGGGAAUCGAGGACAACAGCAGUCCGUAGUCUGUCGUUUGCCGGCUCAGCGCAGGGAGACAGGAGCUGGAUGGCACAUGGUACUACGGCGCCUCUCAGAGGUCGCAGGCAGUCUUCUCUGCGUCUGCAGGAAAAGAGAGCUCUCGUCGGCGCGGUCAGCGUUGCGGUGGAGGCGGUGCUGGCCCAGUUCGGCUCCUCUCGAACCCUGGUCCAGAAGUCUCUCUCGGAUGAGGUUUAACAGCGUUUUGAGUCACCCUUUUGUUUCCUGCAACGCAAACCACUCCACGCGUUAACCCCCUCCCUGCCUUCGGUCCUCGUUCUCCAUCGUGCUCCCCCUCCGUCUUCUCGUCUUCUCAGUUCUUCCGUUCUCACCUUGUUUUUCCUGCUUCCGUUCUUUGUGUCAUCCGGAACUCCUUAUUCCUUCCCCAUGUUCCUUGCUCCCUCUUCUUCUCUCUGGGCUUUGCUACGUCUUUUCUCUCCCAGUAUCAGUGUUUGCCUCCCUCCUUCCGUCUCUGCCUGCCUCCCUUUCUGUCCUGUAACGCCGUUCUGCACCUCUCUCCACUCCCCUGCCACCUCCUCCCGUCCCCUGCAGGCCCAGUCGGGAGACAGCAACAUCAAUCCGUCUCUUGGGCGCCUGGUGCUGCAGUGCUUGUGUCCCGCCCUCCGGAGCCUGCUGUCUGAUGGCCUCAAGCCCCACCAGAGCGACGUGAUCGCGGGGAGAAGGCCAAAUUCACCCUGGGGUCUGGUACAGGCUUCGACGCGGCCAGGCCCCGGUACGCAAGCGCUUUACAGCCUGCAGUGUCGAGUUGCUGAGCUGCCCCAACUCAAGCAGAGUCGACACAGGUUCAACGCCUUCCUGCUCGGGCUGCUCAACAUAAAGCUCUUAGAUUACUGGCUGUCUCACCUGCAGUCCUGUGAUGAUGUUCUAGCUACGUACUAUCUCCCUACAUCCUUCAUGCGUCUCUCACGGUCACUUUGCCAGCUGCUCUUUGAUGAGCUUCUCCUUCUGCUGCAGCCCCUGUCCCUCCUAACCUUUAACUUAGAUCUUCUGUUCCAACACCACCAUCUUGACCCUGCAUCCCCAGCCACGUCCCCAACUGGUCACGCCCCAGAAACAGCACACCAGGAUGGCGGUUUUAGAAUGUCGCCCAGAGGUUUGAGCUAUGGUGGUAGAUAUCCCCCGGGCAGUGUUUCAGAGCACAGCCUUAGGGCUUUGGAUUCAACUGGAGUCAAUCAGAGGACAAGCCCUUCUACCACAACCAGUAAGGUGAUUGGUGGAGAUGAUGAGCAAACCAGUCGUAACACAUUCGCUGGACAAGUCCCAGCCAGCAAUGGAGAGACAGCCUGUCGCCUACUGUGGGUGCAGGACAAAGACAUUGUGCCCCCAAGUCAAAGCAGCUUCCCUCAGCAGGCUGGUCAGGUUAUACAGCAGGGCUGGGGAGCCGUUUUGCGCUGGGGUGAGCGGCUAGGGCAGAACUGGGGUAAUUCUAUCACAUCCUGGAGAGGGACAUCAGAUGGGUCUAAGCCACACCCUCCCCCACCGGCCCAGGAUGUUUGGUCAGGUGAUUCCCAUGGCAGUCAGACUCAGCCCGACAUCAUCAGUCACCAAGAUCAGAGUGACCUUCCAUCUGGCAGCAGUCUGGUGGUGCCCUGGGGCUUGGGCAGACUUUUUGGGGCUUCCAGGGAACCGAGCAGCGCUCACAUGCGUACGCCUUCAAGCAGGCGCCCGUCUCAGUGGCUGUCCCCUGGGGUCUCGGCGCUCGGCCGCAUCGUGAGCCCCACGCAGAAUCCAGUGCCUGAGGAACAGACUGAGAGCCUUCAAGAGAAAAAUAACAGAGACACAAAGCUCAGGUCGGUCCGGACUCUAUGUGACCACACGGGAACCGGGGCGGAGCUGAGCUUCAAGAAAGGGGAGGAGCUUGUGGUGCUCGGAAGUGUCGACCCUGACUGGGUUCGUUGUCGUCGAGGAGACAGGGAGGGGCUUGUUCCUAUUGGCUACGCCUCCCUAAUUAUUUGACUUUGCCAGCUAAGAUUCUGAUUGGAUGAGUCGCCAGGAAUGGCAAUUGUCUUGAACUAAAGCAGCAUCAUCGUAAAGAAAGGGACAGUAAAAUAGCGAUAUAGUGAUUUGUAUCUGUGCGGCGUCUCGCUCUUCUCUUUCUCGCCAGGUUUGUGUUUAAAAUGUUUCUGCUACUUCUAGUAUUCGACCGAAAAAGAAAUGUAAAACAAAGUGUAUAAAUAUACAUAUCUAUGAAUAAAUACAUAUAUAAAUAUAUCUUAAAUUGGAUA